rnacentral:lncRNA from 1 species
GAAUCAAGAAAAAAGCUAACGGUUCCACUGAAGCUGGCCCGUGGUUAGUGAAGUUGCACUUGGCAGAUAACGGCAUAGAUGGAAAAGGAAAAGAGGGAGCAAAUGACCUGUUGGAAUUCACUCACAGCUUAACAUGGGCCCAGUGGUGGUGCUCUGUGGGGCUGACCCUUCAUCCGAUCCUGCUCUUGGCGCUGACCACACUAAACACGACCACAGAACUGGAUACGUCAUUUGUGGAGCCUCACUGCAAAAUGAAAAUAGACGGGCCCCUGUUCAAUACUAUGAAGAAGUUCCAGAUGACAGCAGCACGAGAACUAAGCCAAGGAAAGGCUCCUUCAGAGAGAGAGGGGGCACUGCAGACCGCCCCAGCCACACCCCCCGGAGCCGGCUCUGUGCGACCACCCACGUGAGUGCCAGCAGCAACACGCACCUGUGCUAG